GAGGAUAUGGCGCAGUUGGUAGCGCGUCAGAUUGUGGCUCUGAAGGCCGUGGGUUCGAAACCCACUAUCCUCC
rnacentral:tRNA from 1 species